UAGGGAAUCUUCGGCAAUGGGGGCAACCCUGACCGAGCAACGCCGCGUGAGUGAAGAAGGUUUUCGGAUCGUAAAGCUCUGUUGUAAGUCAAGAACGGGUGUGAGAGUGGAAAGUUCACACUGUGACGGUAGCUUACCAGAAAGGGACGGCUAACUACGUGCCAGCAGCCGCGGUAAUACGUAGGUCCCGAGCGUUGUCCGGAUUUAUUGGGCGUAAAUGACGAGCGCA
rnacentral:rRNA from 1 species